rnacentral:rRNA from 1 species
UACGUAGGGGGCUAGCGUUGUCCGGAAUCAUUGGGCGUAAAGAGCGUGUAGGCGGCCCGGUAAGUCCGCUGUAAAAGUCAAAGGCUCAACCUUUGAAUGUCAGUGGAUACUGCCGGGCUAGAGUCCGGAAGAGGAGAGUGGAAUUCCUGGUGUAGCGGUGAAAUGCGCAGAUAUCAGGAAGAACACCUGUGGCGAAGGCGGCUCUCUGGGACGGUACUGACGCUGAGACGCGAAAGCGUGGGGAGCGAACAGG